CCCGAGGAAAAGAAAUCAACCGAGAUUCCCCCAGUAGCGGCGAGCGAACGGGGAGCAGCCCAGAGUCUGAAUCAGCUUGUGUGUUAGUGGAACGGUCUGGAAAGUCCGACGGUACAGGGUGAUAGUCCCGUACACCAAAAUGCACAGGUUGUGAACUCGAAGAGUAGGGCGGGACACGUGGUAUCCUGUCUGAAUAUGGGGGGACCAUCCUCCAAGGCUAAAUACUCCUGACUGACCGAUAGUGAACCAGUACCGUGAGGGAAAGGCGAAAAGAACCCCGGCGAGGGGAGUGAAAAAGAACCUGAAACCGUGUACGUACAAGCAGUGGGAGCACCUUCGGGUGUGACUGCGUACCUUUUGUAUAAUGGGUCAGCGACUUAUAUUCUGUAGCAAGGUUAACCGUAUAGGGGAGCCGCAGGGAAACCGAGUCUUAACUGGGCGUUAAGUUGCAGGGUAUAGACCCGAAACCCGGUGAUCUAGCCAUGGGCAGGUUGAAGGUUGGGUAACACUAACUGGAGGACCGAACCGACUAAUGUUGAAAAAUUAGCGGAUGACUUGUGGCUGGGGGUGAAAGGCCAAUCAAACCGGGAGAUAGCUGGUUCUCCCCGAAAGCUAUUUAGGUAGCGCCUCGUGAAUUCAUCUUCGGGGGUAGAGCACUGUUUCGGCUAGGGGGUCAUCCCGACUUACCAACCCGAUGCAAACUACGAAUACCGAAGAAUGUUAUCACGGGAGACACACGGCGGGUGCUAACGUCCGUCGUGAAGAGGGAAACAACCCAGACCGCCAGCUAAGGUCCCAAAGUCAUGGUUAAGUGGGAAACGAUGUGGGAAGGCACAGACAGCCAGGAUGUUGGCUUAGAAGCAGCCAUCAUUUAAAGAAAGCGUAAUAGCUCACUGGUCGAGUCGGCCUGCGCGGAAGAUGUAACGGGGCUAAACCAUGCACCGAAGCUGCGGCAGCGACACUAUGUGUUGUUGGGUAGGGGAGCGUUCUGUAAGCCUGCGAAGGUGACCUGUGAGGGUUGCUGGAGGUAUCAGAAGUGCGAAUGCUGACAUAAGUAACGAUAAAGCGGGUGAAAAGCCCGCUCGCCGGAAGACCAAGGGUUCCUGUCCAACGUUAAUCGGGGCAGGGUGAGUCGACCCCUAAGGCGAGGCCGAAAGGCGUAGUCGAUGGGAAACAGGUUAAUAUUCCUGUACUUGGUGUUACUGCGAAGGGGGGACGGAGAAGGCUAUGUUAGCCGGGCGACGGUUGUCCCGGUUUAAGCAUGUAGGCUGGUUAUCCAGGCAAAUCCGGAUAAUCAAGGCUGAGGUGUGAUGACGAGGCACUACGGUGCUGAAGUAACAAAUGCCCUGCUUCCAGGAAAAGCCUCUAAGCAUCAGGUAACAUCAAAUCGUACCCCAAACCGACACAGGUGGUCAGGUAGAGAAUACCAAGGCGCUUGAGAGAACUCGGGUGAAGGAACUAGGCAAAAUGGUGCCGUAACUUCGGGAGAAGGCACGCUGGUGUGUAGGUGAAGUCCCUGCGGAUGGAGCUGAGACCAGUCGAAGAUACCAGCUGGCUGCAACUGUUUAUUAAAAACACAGCACUGUGCAAACACGAAAGUGGACGUAUACGGUGUGACGCCUGCCCGGUGCCGGAAGGUUAAUUGAUGGGGUUAUCCGUAAGGAGAAGCUCUUGAUCGAAGCCCCGGUAAACGGCGGCCGUAACUAUAACGGUCCUAAGGUAGCGAAAUUCCUUGUCGGGUAAGUUCCGACCUGCACGAAUGGCGUAAUGAUGGCCAGGCUGUCUCCACCCGAGACUCAGUGAAAUUGAACUCGCUGUGAAGAUGCAGUGUACCCGCGGCAAGACGGAAAGACCCCGUGAACCUUUACUAUAGCUUGACACUGAACAUUGAGCCUUGAUGUGUAGGAUAGGUGGGAGGCUUUGAAGCGUGGACGCCAGUCUGCGUGGAGCCAACCUUGAAAUACCACCCUUUAAUGUUUGAUGUUCUAACGUUGGCCCCUGACCGGGGUUGCGGACAGUGUCUGGUGGGUAGUUUGACUGGGGCGGUCUCCUCCCAAAGCGUAACGGAGGAGCACGAAGGUUAGCUAAUCCUGGUCGGACAUCAGGAGGUUAGUGCAAUGGCAUAAGCUAGCUUGACUGCGAGCGUGACGGCGCGAGCAGGUGCGAAAGCAGGUCAUAGUGAUCCGGUGGUUCUGAAUGGAAGGGCCAUCGCUCAACGGAUAAAAGGUACUCCGGGGAUAACAGGCUGAUACCGCCCAAGAGUUCAUAUCGACGGCGGUGUUUGGCACCUCGAUGUCGGCUCAUCACAUCCUGGGGCUGAAGUAGGUCCCAAGGGUAUGGCUGUUCGCCAUUUAAAGUGGUACGCGAGCUGGGUUUAGAACGUCGUGAGACAGUUCGGUCCCUAUCUGCCGUGGGCGCUGGAGAAUUGAGGGGGGCUGCUCCUAGUACGAGAGGACCGGAGUGGACGCAUCACUGGUGUUCGGGUUGUCAUGCCAAUGGCACUGCCCGGUAGCUAAAUGCGGAAGAGAUAAGUGCUGAAAGCAUC
rnacentral:rRNA from 1 species